AGAGUUUGAUCCUGGCUCAGGAUGAACGCUGGCGGUAUGCUUAACACAUGCAAGUCGAACGAAGUCUUCGGCACUUAGUGGCGGACGGGUGAGUAACGCGUGAGAAUCUGCCAAAAGGACUGGGACAACAGCUGGAAACGGCUGCUAAUACCGGAUAUGCCAGAAAGUGAAAUGGGUAAAACCGCCUUUGAUGAGCUCGCGUCCGAUUAGCUAGUUGGUGGGGUAAAAGCCUACCAAGGCGACGAUCGGUAACUGGUCUGAGAGGAUGACCAGUCACACUGGGACUGAGACACGGCCCAGACUCCUACGGGAGGCAGCAGUGGGGAAUUUUCCGCAAUGGGCGAAAGCCUGACGGAGCAAUACCGCGUGAGGGAGGAAGGCUCUUGGGUUGUAAACCUCUUUUCUCAGGGAAGAACACAAUGACGGUACCUGAGGAAUCAGCAUCGGCUAACUCCGUGCCAGCAGCCGCGGUAAUACGGAGGAUGCAAGCGUUAUCCGGAAUGAUUGGGCGUAAAGCGUCCGCAGGUGGCUUUGCAAGUCUGCUGUCAAAGCUCAGGGCUUAACCCUGAAUCGGCGGUGGAAACUGAAAGGCUAGAGUGUGGUAGGGGCAGAGGGAAUCCCAGUGUAGCGGUGAAAUGCGUAGAGAUUGGGAAGAACACCAGUGGCGAAAGCGCUCUGCUAGACCGCAACUGAACUCAUGGACGAAAGCUAGGGGAGCGAAUGGGAUUAGAUACCCUAGUAGUCC
rnacentral:rRNA from 1 species